rnacentral:rRNA from 1 species
ACGGGAGGCAGCAGUGGGGAAUAUUGGACAAUGGGGGCAACCCUGAUCCAGCGACGCCGCGUGAGUGAAGAAGUAUUUCGGUAUGUAAAGCUCUAUCAGCAGGGAAGAUGAUGACGGUACCUGACUAAGAAGCCCCGGCUAACUACGUGCCAGCAGCCGCGGUAAUACGUAGGGGGCAAGCGUUAUCCGGAUUUACUGGGUGUAAAGGGAGCGUAGGCGGUCAGACAAGUCAGAUGUGAAAGCCCGGGGCUCAACUCCGGGACUGCAUUUGAAACUGUAGGACUAGAGUGCUGGAGAGGCAAGCGGAAUUCCUAGUGUAGCGGUGAAAUGCGUAGAUAUUAGGAAGAACACCGGUGGCGAAGGCGGCUUGCUGGACAGAGACUGACGCUGAGGCUCGAAAGCGUGGGGAGCAAACAGGAUUAGAUACCCUGGUA